UUGCACCCACGGCCUUUGGGACUGUGUUUGGGAUAUCAUCAUAUACUGUAAGUUUGUUUUAAGACACUACAGUAUAGAUGAUGUACUACACCAAGUCUCACAAGCACGCACUGUCCA
rnacentral:pre_miRNA from 14 species